GAUGAACGCUGGCGGCGUGCCUAAUACAUGCAAGUCGAGCGAAUGGAUUAAGAGCUUGCUCUUAUGAAGUUAGCGGCGGACGGGUGAGUAACACGUGGGUAACCUGCCCAUAAGACUGGGAUAACUCCGGGAAACCGGGGCUAAUACCGGAUAAUAUUUUGAACUGCAUGGUUCAAAAUUGAAAGGCGGCUUCGGCUGUCACAUAUGGCUGGACCCGCGUCGCAUUAGCUAGUUGGUGAGGUAACGGAUCACCAAGGCAACGAUGCGUAGCCGACCUGAGAGGGUGAUCGGCCACACUGGGACUGAGACACGGCCCAGACUCCUACGGGAGGCAGCAGUAGGGAAUCUUCCGCAAUGGACGAAAGUCUGACGGAGCAACGCCGCGUGAGUGAUGAAGGCUUUCGGGUCGUAAAACUCUGUUGUUAGGGAAGAACAAGUGCUAGUUGAAUAAGCUGACACCUUGACGGUACCUAACCAGAAAGCCACGGCUAACUACGUGCCAGCAGCCGCCGUAA
rnacentral:rRNA from 1 species